rnacentral:rRNA from 1 species
GAUGAACGCUGGCGGCGUGCCUAAUACAUGCAAGUCGAGCGAACAGAUAAGGAGCUUGCUCCUUUGACGUUAGCGGCGGACGGGUGAGUAACACGUGGGUAACCUACCUAUAAGACUGGGAUAACUUCGGGAAACCGGAGCUAAUACCGGAUAAUAUUUCGAACCGCAUGGUUCGAUAGUGAAAGAUGGUUUUGCUAUCACUUAUAGAUGGACCCGCGCCGUAUUAGCUAGUUGGUAAGGUAACGGGUUACCAACGCGACGAUAGGUAGCCGACCUGAGAGGGAGGAUGGCCACACGGGAAGUGAGGAAGGGUCCACACUCCGGGGGGGAGCCGCAGUAGGGAAUCUUCCGCAAUGGGCGAAAGCCGGACGGAGGAACGCCGCGUGAGUGAUGAAGGUCUUCGGAUCGUAAAACUCUGUUAUUAGGGAAGAACAUACGUGUAAGUAACUGUGCACGUCUUGACGGUACCUAAUCAGAAAGCCACGGCUAACUACGUG